UAACAUUACUCUAGUCUCACACAGCAGAUGCUUCUUCCCCAAGUUGUAUGCCUGGGGAGGAGGUUAACAUUACUCUAGUCUCACACAGCAGAUGCUUCUUCCCAAGUUGUAUGCCUGGGGAGGAGGUUAACAUUACUCUAGUCUCACACAGCAGAUGCUUCUUCCCCAAGUUGUAUGCCUGGGGAGGAGGUUAACAUUACUCUAGUCUCACACAGCAGAUGCUUCUUCCCAAGUUGUAUGCCUGGGGAGGAGGUUAACAUUACUCUAGUCUCACACAGCAGAUGCUUCUUCCCAAG